rnacentral:rRNA from 1 species
UGACCUACGGGGGGCUGCAAGCGUUGUUCGGAAUCAUUGGGCGUAAAGCGCGCGCAGGCGGCUUGGUAAGUCAGAUGUGAAAUCCCUGGGCUUAACCCAGGAAGUGCAUUUGAUACUGCCUCGCUAGAGUACGGGAGAGGAAAGUGGAAUUCCUGGUGUAGAGGUGAAAUUCGUAGAUAUCAGGAGGAACACCGGUGGCGAAGGCGACUUUCUGGCCCGAUACUGACGCUCAGGCGCGAAAGCGUGGGGAGCAAACAGGAUUAGAUACCCGAGUAGUC